rnacentral:lncRNA from 1 species
UGCUACAUUGACUCGAGAUGUGAAGCGCAAUGGUCGUUUACUUGAGGUACGAUUCUAUUCUGGUACACUAUCUGUAUGCAAUGAAGGCCAGAAAAUAUUGAUCAUGUUGGUAAUUCUUCACUUGCAGCUCAUUGUUAGCAAAGUACAGAUAGAGAUACCACCUGAACUACUGCAGGAAGAAGAAAAUGAGUUGGUGAGAUUAAAUCUUAAGUGCUGAUGCAUAUUAAGUUAUCACAUUGUCAUACUUUAGAUACCACCUAAACAUGUUUUUGUUAUAUAUAUUCUCCUGUCAUAAUUAAUCAUUUCCAUAAUUUAUCUGGUCUACAUAUUCUCAUGAACGGUCCAUUUUUUUCAUUUUGGAUGUAGGGAGGGGCUCUAGAUGGGUCCUCUCAUGCCUCAGCCAACCUGGACAACAGCGAUGGCCAUUGAUUUGUGUGAUGGCAGGAAGCGUUUUUUGGGGCUGUAGUCUCUUGUUCACCGCACUACAGGAUUUGGCAACAACAAGCAAGUUUGAAGGGCAUUUUGGUUGUCAUGCAACAAAAGUGGAUUCUGUUGCCAUCCAAGGCAUGGGUGCUAGUUGUGAAGCAGCUGCAUAAUGUCUAUUCGGAGCAUGCAGGCUUGCGUAGAAACCGUGGCACAAUGCCCCACCAAAGCUACACUUUUUGGUUGGUUGAGAGAGCAACUAGCUACCAGCAGAUUGCCUUCUCAAGAUGUAAUAGAUGUUAUGAAACUGCCAUUUGAACAUGUAGCUGAUUGUGUACUUUAGCUUUGGAUUGAGUAUUUGUUAUGAAAAACUUGAAUGAUAUUCGAAGACCAUCAAACUUAAUGUUUGAAUUACUUGAGUAUGGAUGAAUGGUUCAAUGACUUUGUUAUAAUAUUGAUGCAA